rnacentral:rRNA from 1 species
GACGAACGCUGGCGGCGUGCUUAACACAUGCAAGUCGAACGGAAAGGCCCUGCUUGCAGGGUGCUCGAGUGGCGAACGGGUGGGUAACACGUGGGUGAUCUGCCCCUUACUUUGGGAUAAGCCUGGGAAACUGGGUCUAAUACUGGAUAGGACCAUGCUGUAGGUGGUGUGGUGGAAAGAUUAGUUUCGGUAAGGGAUGAGCUCGCGGCCUAUCAGCUUGUUGGUGGGGUAAUGGCCUACCAAGGCGUCGACGGGUAGCCGGCCUGAGAGGGUGGACGGCCACAUUGGGACUGAGAUACGGCCCAGACUCCUACGGGAGGCAGCAGUGGGGAAGAUUGCACAAUGGGCGCAAGCCUGAUGCAGCGACGCCGCGUGGGGGAUGACGGCCUUCGGGUUGUAAACUCCUUUCAGCCAUGACGAAGCCCUUGUGGUGACGGUAGUGGUAGAAGAAGCACCGGCUAACUACGUG